rnacentral:rRNA from 1 species
GGAGGGUCCAAGCGUUAUCCGGAAUCAUUGGGUUAAAGGGUCCGUAGGCGGGCGAUUAAGUCAGAGGUGAAAUCCCACAGCUCAACUGUGGAACUGCCUUUGAUACUGGUUGUCUUGAGUUAUAGUGAAGUAGAUAGAAUGUGUAGUGUAGCGGUGAAAUGCAUAGAUAUUACACAGAAUACCGAUUGCGAAGGCAGUCUACUAACUGUAUACUGACGCUAAUGGACGAAAGCGUGGGGAGCGGACAGGAUUAGAUACCCUGGUAGUCCACGCCGUAAACGAUGGUCACUAAUUGUUGGGGUUUACCUCAGUGAUUAAGAGAAAUUGAUAAGUGACCCACCUGGGGAGUACGAUCGCAAAGAUUG